rnacentral:tRNA from 1 species
AGCUUUAUAGUUUAAUAAAACACUAUAGUUUCAUUAUGGAAUUGCCAAUCAAUUAGGGCUA